UACGGAGGGUGCGAGCGUUAAUCGGAAUUACUGGGCGUAAAGCGCGCGUAGGCGGUUCGUUAAGUCAGCCGUGAAAGCCCCGGGCUUAACCUGGGAACUGCGGAUGAUACUGGCGGACUAGAGUGUGGCAGAGGGUGGCGGAAUUUCCGGUGUAGCAGUGAAAUGCGUAGAGAUCGGAAGGAACACCAGUGGCGAAGGCGGCCAUCUGGGUCAACACUGACGCUGAGGUGCGAAAGCGUGGGGAGCAAACAGG
rnacentral:rRNA from 1 species